rnacentral:tRNA from 1 species
AGCAGAGAGUGGCGCAGUGGAAGUGUGCUGGGCCUAUAACCCAUAGGUCCGUGGAUCGAAACUACGCUCUGCUA